UGGGGAAUAUUGCGCAAUGGGGGGAACCCUGACGCAGCCAUGCCGCGUGAAUGAAGAAGGCCUUAGGGUUGUAAAGUUCUUUCGGUAUUGAGGAAGGUUGAUGUGUUAAUAGCACAUCAAAUUGACGUUAAAUACAGAAGAAGCACCGGCUAACUCCGUGCCAGCAGCCGCGGUAAUACGGAGGGUGCGAGCGUUAAUCGGAAUAACUGGGCGUAAAGGGCACGCAGGCGGUUAUUUAAGUGAGGUGUGAAAGCCCCGGGCUUAACCUGGGAAUUGCAUUUCAGACUGGGUAACUAGAGUACUUUAGGGAGGGGUAGAAUUCCACGUGUAGCGGUGAAAUGCGUAGAGAUGUGGAGGAAUACCGAAGGCGAAGGCAGCCCCUUGGGAAUGUACUGACGCUCAUGUGCGAAAGCGUGGGGAGCAAACAGGAUUAGAUACCCUGGUAGUCCACGCUGUAAACGCUGUCGAUUUGGGGGUUGGGGUUUAACUCUGACGCCCGUAGCUAACGUGAUAAAUCGACCGCCUGGGGAGUACGGCCGCAAGGUUA
rnacentral:rRNA from 1 species